rnacentral:rRNA from 1 species
GUGGGGAAUAUUGGACAAUGGGCGCAAGCCUGAUCCAGCCAUGCCGCGUGAGUGAUGAAGGCCCUAGGGUUGUAAAGCUCUUUCACCGGUGAAGAUAAUGACGGUAACCGGAGAAGAAGCCCCGGCUAACUUCGUGCCAGCAGCCGCGGUAAUACGAAGGGGGCUAGCGUUGUUCGGAAUUACUGGGCGUAAAGCGCACGUAGGCGGGUAUUUAAGUCAGGGGUGAAAUCCCAGAGCUCAACUCUGGAACUGCCUUUGAUACUGGGUACCUAGAGUAUGGAAGAGGUAAGUGGAAUUCCGAGUGUAGAGGUGAAAUUCGUAUAUAUUCGGAGGAACACCAGUGGCGAAGGCGGCUUACUGGUCCAUUACUGACGCUGAGGUGCGAAAGCGUGGGGAGCAAACAGGAUUAGAUACCCGAUAGUCC